rnacentral:rRNA from 1 species
AUGGACGAUUUACUCUCGCCGUACUCCUCUUUCCUUCCACCCUCGCCGUGCUCCAAACUCUCCACCGUCCACGAACAGCAACUUGAGUUCGUAUCCCAGGAUCUUCCCGAACCAUGGCUGUUCGACGGCAGCAUGAUGUCCAACAAAGCGGACAGUGAGCUGUGGCCUAUGGGGAGCCCGCUCGCCGGGAGCACUGUGCACUCCGAGCUACCGCCGAGCCUCCCGGCAACGCCGCAGGAUCCUGUGAAGAGGCGGGGACGGAAACCCGGAUCCUGCUCCACGGUCAGCCACGUGCAGGCCGAGCGGCAGCGCCGCAACAAACUGAACCGUCGAUUUUGUGACCUCCGCGCUGCCGUCCCCACCGUGUCCCGCAUGGACAAGGCAUCACUCCUCUCCGACGCCACCAUCUACAUCACGGAGCUGCGCUCCCGCUUGGAGCGCCUCGAGGAGGCCAAAAAGGCACUGGAGCAGAGCUCCGCGGCCGCUUCUCGCGAUGGACUAGCUGCCGAAUUCCUACAGGUGGAUGAAACGGUAGACAUGCAGAUGGUGGGGCGUGAUGCAGCCGUGGUGCGUGUGACCACCGCGGCGAGCCACGCGCCCGCGCGGCUGAUGGGCGCGCUCCGGUCGCUGGACCUGCAGGUGCAGCAUGCCUGCGUUAGCCGCGUGCACGGCGUGACCCGGCAGAGCGUUCUCGUUGACGUGCCAACCUCGAUGCAGGAUGAGGACAGUCUCCGCUCGGCUGUGCUCCAGACGCUGCAGGAUAGCGCCUAG